UUUUCUCUCCGCCUCUCAUUCCUGUUCUCUUUUUUUCUUUCUCAUCUUGUCGCUGGUUCAAAGAGGGGGUGUUGCCGUGUUGCACACUGAACCUGGGAAAUGAUUGGGUCAUUUUGGGAGAAAUAUUUGAGCAAAUGACAUCCGUAGAUGCUAAUAUGCGAUGCGAGUAGUCUUGUUAUGUGUGCGAUUUUCUUUUUUUAUCCACUUGACACUCAGCACUAUCAUUUUCUCGAUCUAGCAGUUCUGUACCUCACUCCAAAUUGCAUGGCUUUCAGCAAGUCAAAUGCAUCAGUCACUAAUAUUUAAAAAAGAAAAUAAGAUAUAUACAUAUAUAUCUGUAUGCAUGUGAUUCUUGCCAACUAGAGUCUAAAGGACGUGUAUGUGUGUAUGCAUGCUUGUGGGCGUGCGUGUGUGUGUAUGGUGAGUGUGUGUGUGUGUGUGUGUGUGUUUGUCUGGGGACGUACUGCAAACUGAUGGUGUGCCACUGAGCACUCGCUCCAAAAAGCGUUUCCUGGGAGACGUGCGCAGGAGGCAGGAUUUCCCCAGCCAAUCAGAGCGUCCCCAGCACGUGGCGCGUAGGGGAGACGGCAGAGCGCGACGUGGGAAGCGGCCGCGUAGCGAGCGCUCCGCCGUCUCUGGCCCGGCCCGUAUUUGGGGGAAGGGUGCGGCGUUUACGGGGUCUUAAUGUUGUCGCGUUGGGAGAUUCGGGGGAAAGGGGCACGCCGCCGUGCCCCACCCUACGCCGUCGCGGGACGUCCUGAGUUUCCACCAGUCCUGCCAAUCACGAAGACCUGUCAAAUUCACCAACCCCCCCCACACCGCCCUCACCCCACCCCACCACACCCUGCCCCACUCCACCAAAUCUACAGUCAUGCGCUGCUCUGCCCUGAUGAUAGCUUACUGUAACAACAGUGAGUGUAAGAACAGCAGUAAGUACACAUGCUUCAGUUAACUUCAGAAACAGGCAAUAAUAGACGGUGGGUCUCUCUCCUCCGCUGGCCACUGCUCGCCACCGGCCCUUAGGGGUGCAGUUCAUAAACGUGCCACUUGGGGGCUCCUUCACAAAUUCAACCUCCUUACUACAAAACGGAUUAUACUUUGUGGGUACUCUGACAUCUCUAACUAGCGGGAGGUUCGACGCCUUUUGGUUCUCUGUGUUCCAGAGUGUGUUGUGUAAUUAAGAGUUCCUGUGUGUGUGUGUGUAUGUACGUGUGUGUAUGUGCUGUUGAUGUUUGCGAGCUGCUCCCUCUUACAGCGAAGCACCUUUUGAGGCCAUGCACCGAGAUGGAUGUCUCUGAAAGCAGGGACCACAACACAGCCAGCAGUCUGGAAGCUACUUGGGUUUUUUUUUUUUCUUUCUCCUUUCCUUUCUACUGCGGAAUGGGACCAAUAAUGCACAGAAAGGCCAGGGCUGCGUGUGUGUGUGUGUGUGUGUGUGCGUGCAAUUCAUGCCUGCAAUCUGCACUGUGCAUGGGGGCUUCGCUUUAAUGGAAUCAGAAUGGCUUUCAGUUUGUAAAUAGAAUCCAGGCCUUUAGGACGGUGAAAUCUCUCGUGCUUUCUCCUACGCUGCUGUCCGUCUCAGGGCUCCCUGUUCCCCAGUAAAGGAGAGGGUUUGUUUAGUCUCGCUGCCGUUGGCUGGAAACGUUCUGCCGUCCCAUUGGGCUGCGUUAUUUAUCGCGGAGCGAGCGAUUGAAGGCCGUUUAGCUGGCUGCCAUUCUGCCGGGGCUGGACAUGCAGAUUUCAUCCCCCCCGGCUCCCCCCUCCAUGAUUCAGACGAGGACAGAAGCGGGCGGGGCCACGGCGGGUUUCGGAGCGACCGGGAAAGAGCGGCGGUUGCCCGGGAGGCGGGCGGGGAGAGGCGGAGCCGUGCCAGCGGCGACCUGGCCGUGCUCGGCCGCCAUCGUGCCAGCACGCCAUUUUCCCCGGCGUAAAUUCACAAGUGUGAGCGUGCCAGCCAGACCGCUCCAGAGCGCUCUGAUUUACUGAGAUCUGCGGGGGCGUGGCUAAGAUUGUGUGUGUGUGUGUGUGUGUGUGUGUGUGAGACAGAGGAAGGGCAGUGAGAAUUUGUAAAUCUGUGUGUGUGUGUGUGUGUGUGUGUGUGUGUGUGUGAGACGGAGGAAGGGCAGUGAGUUUGUGGAAGAGAGUUUGUGCGUGUGAUUGUGUGUGUGUGUGUGUGUGUGAGACAGAGGGAGGGCAGAGAGUUUGUGUGAAUCAGUGCGAUUGUGCCUUUGUGUGUUGGCACGGUUCUUGGCUGGCCUGCUUUGGUGGAGGUGUUUAAUAUCCUGUUCACGCCAGGCGCAGUGAAAUCGGGGAGUUAUAGAACAGGAACAUGAGGACCGGUGGCAGAUUAUUUUUCCCUGUUCCCUUCUCCGCGGUCCCCGGGCGUUCCGUGCCUCCGCAGAUGGCCGCGUGCCUGCUGAGGUGUUGCAGGACACGGGCCGCACGUCUGUGCGGACGCGCCACGCAUGUUACACGCGCUACACGUCGCUCUGAAACCAGGAUUGGCUCCCGAGGCGCGGUUAGUGUGGCGGAUGGUGAGAAUGUUGACAGCAAGGAAUAGUCAGUGACAAUUAGCGGUGGCAAUAUUACCGGAAUUUAGUAUCGAGUGAUCUUGUAUCUUAUCCUGUUAGCAGUCUUUUUUUUCCAAACCAGACCAAAAUGGCCUUCAAGGUAUAUAAGUCUUAGGAAUGCUUAGAUUGAUUGAAUGAUUGUUUGAUGCUCAGAUUAACUUUGCUUGCAUAUCAUUCAGGGAAAGAUUUACUUUAAUAUUCUUAGCAUAGUGAACAUGAAAAUGUGAUCUAAUAUAUCUAGACAGCAAGGAAUGUAAAUAUAUUUAAAAAGAUAUAUUAACACAGAUUAGUAUUAUAUAUGAAUAAAUAAAUUCUAUAUCCACAAAUAUAUAUGCAGUGUUUGGGGAGAAAACGGGUUUGUUGGUCGAAUUGUCUCAGGAUAGGAUGCAAGACCUCAAAAGGUGCGUUCCUGUUUUUGACUGUGUGUGUGUGUGUGUGUGUGUGUAUGUGGUUAUGUGCAUUCACUUCACAAGCCGGUUCACGCGGUUCAGCAUUGUGGUGCCGUAUAUUCCCAGUGUACCUGAACGGAUUACGCCUGCACCUUUCAAACUCCUUCAACUUCAGUGAAAAGGUAGCAAAAAGAAAAGAGACUCGCAUGACUUUUUCAUUGGGAAACUGCAAGUGGAUGACUGUUGGGCGAAUCGGACGCGCGGCGGAUGAGACGCUGAGACCAUGCGCAGAAUAUGCACCGGGGGUGAACUGAAAGCCCCACUGGCCUGCCCAGGUUUACCAAAGCCUGUAUCGUAGAGAGUGUUCUCCACCAAGUGCUGACUGACGGGAUUUUGUCAAAGCUUUGCCGUCACUGUUCUUGGGCUUGUGCACCAGUGCUGGGGUAAAGACUGUACUCUUCUUCUGUGUGGUAGUCUUGUACCUGAUGCCUGUACUUAUAUCCACUGUUCAGAGCUUGUAGAUUUCCUCAGACCUUCAGUGUUCACCCUGAGCAGGCCGGAGUAGCCGCGCCGCCGGCGUGGCGGCAGGCUAGCACCUGGCCUCUCGUACGGUGUCUGCGGACAGGUGUGGCCACUCUCUGGUCCAAGCGGUUCUUGUGUCACGUACCGUUUAUAUACUUUUACUGUCUUUUUUUUCCUCCGAGGCAGUUUUUUUUAAAACAGGAUAUGAACCCACUGAUCUGUGUGUUUGUAGUUACAGAUUUCAGUAGAUUUCAAAUGUUUUACAUCAACCCAGAACUGAAAAUAAAGGAACUUAACAAAUUAUACUACUGCGGUUCAUAUUUUUAAGGACUUACUUUUGUAUCACUCUUCCGUCUGAGUUCUCUGCUUCACUGUGACCUCAGAGACUUCUGGGAAAAGAGGGUGUGUCCUGCAGUGUUGCUCAGGGGUCAUGACCUCUGGGGAGAUCAGGUCAGAACAAACCAACCAAGCAAUAGAACACCAACCCCAUACCAACCUCAGUACUGGAAAGGGUUUCCAAAGCUAACACAUAGCAGCAUCCUCACCGCGUCUCUUUAAGAUUGCCAUGUAGCAAGAUGGAUAUGUGUUAGCAGGCCUGACACCAGGGCAUACAUCUGACAGCAAUACUCAACUAGCCUUCCUCUUGUGAACACAGUAUCUCAGAAACAACUGGAAAACACAGAGAACUUCAGUCUUACCAACAGGACAGUGACUUCCUCGCAUAAUCUUCCUAGUGGUCCGUCUAACAUCAGAGCUGUGCUCACCUCGUGGAGCAUGUGAUUCAACGCUGAGCAGGGUUUAGGAUCGAGCACACCAGCCAAGCCACACACACACACACACACCCCUGCAAGGUGGGAGGACAGGUCAAACUAAUACAGGUUAGACGAAGGAAAGGUACAUGUAAACCCUGGGCAAAGGAUGUCUACAAUAAUAUGAAAUCCUUCAAACUACAGCCCCACUCCCCUCACCCCAGCUAUAUACACACCCUCUCUUCCUCCUCAGCAAUGCCCCCCGCCCCCCCAGCAGAAACCCAGUGGUUGGUGUGAUGUCAGGUUUUUUGUGGUGGGUUGCUAACAUGGUCCAGACAAUCAGCGUGUUUGUACGUGUCAAUCUGUGAUUUUCCAAUCUUGUCAUUGUCAGGACUUUAAAGGAAGAUAUUUUUUAUGGUAAUUGUCGCUGGUCUAUUUUACUAUAUAUUUAUGUAAUAAAUAUGUGACUAAAAUUACAUCCUAGACUCCCUCGUCUGUUUUGACAUUUCCCUCUGUCUCUCCCACUCUCUCAGCCUGUGCUCCUGCUUUGAUUUAUACCCAUCCCCCUUUUUUGGCUUCUGGACCUCAUCCUGUUGCGUGUGUGUGUGUAUAUGCGUGUGUGUGUUUGUGUGUGUGUGUGUGUGUGUGCACACCACCUGGCUGGAUCCUUCUAGAAUGUGUCAGACCAUUUGCACUGGAGGGGGCAGUUCUGUAAAUGAAGCAUUGUUCAAAUUUGUGAUGUCAUCAUUAUGAUAAGAAUAUGUAUGUACACUGUACACAUAUUUUAUUUAAGAAAGAGAGGGGUGAUGUGAAAAUGGCAGGCAGGGAUUGUGUACAGCCUUCAGAGUAAUGAUGGGAGGGUGAGGAUUUGCAAUCCCCCAUGGGUGGAGAGCUAUAAUGAACUAUUCAUCACUCGACCAAUCAAGGCAGUAUUUCUCUCCAUAGCGAGACACAAUGAUUGGCCCACAUCAAUGAGCAUAUGAUGGUUCCUCCCUUCUUGGGAUUUGUGAAGCCUUACAUUCCCAUCACUGCUUUGGAUCUCACGUAGAAGCACAUGCACUCAUAUAUAUGCUUAUACACACACACACACGCAGCACCAAGCACAAAUACAGCAUGGUUGAUGUCAGGGAAUUGGGUCUUGCCUGUGCACUUCAGACUGGAGGUUUCUCCCCAAGAUACGCUCAUUUGAAUUUCUUUGGUUUUAUUUGCUUGACUGGUAAGCGAUCUGUGAUUUGCGUUUCAGAUUUACGCUCAAUAAAACUUUUGUAACGUC